rnacentral:rRNA from 1 species
UACAGAGGGUGCGAGCGUUAAUCGGAAUUAUUGGGCGUAAAGCGCGCGCAGGUGGUUUCUUAAGUCUGAUGUGAAAGCCCACGGCUCAACCGUGGAGGGUCAUUGGAAACUGGGGAACUUGAGUGCAGAAGAGAAAAGCGGAAUUCCACGUGUAGCGGUGAAAUGCGUAGAGAUGUGGAGGAACACCAGUGGCGAAGGCGGCUUUUUGGUCUGUAACUGACGCUGAGGCGCGAAAGCGUGGGGAGCAAACAGG